AGACAAUGAGCGCAGCUACCAUGCAGUCGAGCGGUAGAGAGAAGCUUGCUUCUCUUGAGAGCGGCGGACGGGUGAGUAAUACCUGGGAAUCUGCCUGAUAGUGGGGGAUAACGUUCGGAAACGGACGCUAAUACCGCAUACGUCCUACGGGAGAAAGCAGGGGAUCUUCGGACCUUGCGCUAUCAGAUGAGCCCAGGUCGGAUUAGCUUGUUGGUGAGGUAACGGCUCACCAAGGCUGCGAUCCGUAACUGGUCUGAGAGGAUGAUCAGUCACACUGGAACUGAGACACGGUCCAGACUCCUACGGGAGGCAGCAGUGGGGAAUAUUGGACAAUGGGGGAAACCCUGAUCCAGCCAUGCCGCGUGUGUGAAGAAGGUCUUCGGAUUGUAAAGCACUUUAAGUUGGGAGGAAGGGCUGAUGCUUAAUACGUAUCAGUCUUGACGUUACCGACAGAAUAAGCACCGGCUAACUCUGUGCCAGCAGCCGCGGUAAUACAGAGGGUGCAAGCGUUAAUCGGAAUUACUGGGCGUAAAGCGCGCGUAGGUGGCUAAGUAAGAUGGGUGUGAAAUCCCCGGGCUCAACCUGGGAACUGCAUCCAUAACUGCUUGGCUAGAGUACGGUAGAGGGUAGUGGAAUUUCCUGUGUAGCGGUGAAAUGCGUAGAUAUAGGAAGGAACACCAGUGGCGAAGGCGACUACCUGGACUGAUACUGACACUGAGGUGCGAAAGCGUGGGGAGCAAACAGGAUUAGAUACCCUGGUAGUCCACGCCGUAAACGAUGUCAACUAGCCGUUGGGAACCUUGAGUUCUUAGUGGCGCAGCUAACGCACUAAGUUGACCGCCUGGGGAGUACGGUCGCAAGAUUAAAACUCAAAUGAAUUGACGGGGCCCGCACAAGCGGUGGAGCAUGUGGUUUAAUUCGAAGCAACGCGAAAACCUUACCUGGGCCUGACAUGCUGAAACUUUCCAGAGAUGGAUUGGUGCCUUCGGGAACUCAGACACAGUGCUGCAUGGCUGUCGUCAGCCUCUGUCUUGAGAUGUGGGUUAAGUCCGUAACGAGCGCAACCUUUGUCCUUAGUUACCAGCACAUUAAUGUGGGGCACUCCUAGGAACACCGCCCGGUGACAAU
rnacentral:rRNA from 1 species